CCUACGGGUGGCACCAGUGGGGAAUAUUGCACAAUGGGGGAAACCCUGAUGCAGCCAUGCCGCGUGUGUGAAGAAGGCCUUCGGGUUGUAAAGCACUUUCAGAGAGGAGGAAAGGUUGAUGCCUAAUACGUAUCAACUGUGACGUUACUCGCAGAAGAAGCACCGGCUAACUCCGUGCCAGCAGCCGCGGUAAUACGGAGGGUGCAAGCGUUAAUCGGAAUUACUGGGCGUAAAGCGCACGCAGGCGGUUGGAUAAGUUAGAUGUGAAAGCCCCGGGCUCAACCUGGGAAUCGCAUUUAAAACUGUCCAGCUAGAGUCUUGUAGAGGGGGGUAGAAUUCCAGGUGUAGCGGUGAAAUGCGUAGAGAUCUGGAGGAAUACCGGUGGCGAAGGCGGCCCCCUGGACAAAGACUGACGCUCAGGUGCGAAAGCGUGGGGAGCAAACAGGAUUAGAUACCCCUGUAGUC
rnacentral:rRNA from 1 species